ACGCAACGUUGCCAAAUCUUUUGACUCCAUUUUAUUUUUUUUUUUACUUCAUCUAAUCCAUGACUGAUAGUAUAAUUCGAGAAA